AUUGAACGCUUGAGGCAUGCCUAACACAUGCAAGUCGAGCGGAGCGGCGGCCGGGUGAGUAAUGCGUAGGAAUCUGCCUGGUAGUGGGGGAGAACGUCCGGAAACGGGCGAUAAUACAGCAUCCUAUCAGAAGAGCCUCGGUCGGAUUGGCUAGUUGGUGGGGGAGAGUCCUACAAAGGCGACGAUCCGUAAGUGGACUGAGAGGAUGAUCAGUCACACGGGAACUGAGACACGGUCCAGACUCCUACGGGAGGCAGCAGUGGGUAAUAUUUGGCAAUGGGCGAAAGCCUGAUCCAGCCAUGCCGCGUGUGUGAAGAAGGUCUGCGGAUUUUAAAGCACUUUAAGUUGGGAGGCGUUACCAACAGAAGAAGCACCGGCUAACUUCGUGCCAGCAGCCGCGGUAAUUC
rnacentral:rRNA from 1 species